rnacentral:rRNA from 1 species
GAUGAACGCUAGCGGGAGGCUUAACACAUGCAAGCCGAGGGGUAUAGUUCUUUCGGGAACUAGAGACCGGCGCACGGGUGCGUAACGCGUAUGCAACUUGCCCUACUGAAAAGGAUAGCCCUUCGAAAGGAGGAUUAAUACUUUAUAACAGAUUUAAUGGCAUCCUUAGAUUUUGAAAGAUUUAUCGCAGUAGGAUAGGCAUGCGUAAGAUUAGUUAGUUGGUGAGGUAACGGCUCACCAAGACGAUGAUCUUUAGGGGGCCUGAGAGGGUGAACCCCCACACUGGUACUGAGCCACGGACCAGACUCCUACGGGAGGCAGCAGUGAGGAAUAUUGGACAAUGGGUGGAAGCCUGAUCCAGCCAUCCCGCGUGUAGGAUGACGGCCUUAUGGGUUGUAAACUACUUUUAUCUGGGGAUAAACCUACUUACGUGUAAGUAGCUGAAGGUACCAGAAGAAUAAGCACCGGCUAACUCCGUG